rnacentral:rRNA from 1 species
UAUAGCUCAGCUGGGAGAGCGCCUGCUUUGCACGCAGGAGGUCUGCGGUUCGAUCCCGCAUAGCUCCACCAUCUCGUGAGUGUUUACGAAAAAAUACUUCAGAGUGUACCUGAAAGGGUUCACUGCGAAGUUUUGCUCUUUAAAAAUCUGGAUCAAGCUGAAAAUUGAAACACAGAACAACGAAAGUUGUUCGUGAGUCUCUCAAAUUUUCGCGACACGAGAAUGUUUUACGAAACAUCUUCGGGUUGUGAGCGAGCGAACGGGGAGGAGCCCAGAGCCUGAAUCAGCAUGUGUGUUAGUGGAAGCGUCUGGAAAGGCGCGCGAUACAGGGUGACAGCCCCGUACACAAAAGCGCAUGUGCUGUGAGCUCGAUGAGUAGGGCGGGACACGUGGUAUCCUGUCUGAAUAUGGGGGGACCAUCCUCCAAGGCUAAAUACUCCUGACUGACCGAUAGUGAACCAGUACCGUGAGGGAAAGGCGAAAAGAACCCCGGCGAGGGGAGUGAAAAAGAACCUGAAACCGUGUACGUACAAGCAGUGGGAGCACAGGUUUACCUGUGUGACUGCGUACCUUUUGUAUAAUGGGUCAGCGACUUAUAUUCUGUAGCAAGGUUAACCGUAUAGGGGAGCCGGAGGGAAACCGAGUCUUAACCGGGCGUUAAGUUGCAGGGUAUAGACCCGAAACCCGGUGAUCUAGCCAUGGGCAGGUUGAAGGUUGGGUAACACUAACUGGAGGACCGAACCGACUAAUGUUGAAAAAUUAGCGGAUGACCUGUGGCUGGGGGUGAAAGGCCAAUCAAACCGGGAGAUAGCUGGUUCUCCCCGAAAGCUAUUUAGGUAGCGCCUCGUGAAUUCAUCUCCGGGGGUAGAGCACUGUUUCGGCUAGGGGGCCAUCCCGGCUUACCAACCCGAUGCAAACUGCGAAUACCGGAGAAUGUUAUCACGGGAGACACACGGCGGGUGCUAACGUCCGUCGUGAAGAGGGAAACAACCCAGACCGCCAGCUAAGGUCCCAAAGUCAUGGUUAAGUGGGAAACGAUGUGGGAAGGCCCAGACAGCCAGGAUGUUGGCUUAGAAGCAGCCAUCAUUUAAAGAAAGCGUAAUAGCUCACUGGUCGAGUCGGCCUGCGCGGAAGAUGUAACGGGGCUAAACCAUGCACCGAAGCUGCGGCAGCGAACGUAUCACCCAAGACAACUUUACGGAGUUGACGAUUGACGGAGCGAAGCGACGUCAAAGCGUUCAUUAAAGUCGAGUUGGCUUAGGGAUACGUUCGUUGGGUAGGGGAGCGUUCUGUAAGCCUGUGAAGGUGUGUCGUGAGGCAUGCUGGAGGUAUCAGAAGUGCGAAUGCUGACAUAAGUAACGAUAAAGCGGGUGAAAAGCCCGCUCGCCGGAAGACCAAGGGUUCCUGUCCAACGUUAAUCGGGGCAGGGUGAGUCGACCCCUAAGGCGAGGCCGAAAGGCGUAGUCGAUGGGAAACGGGUUAAUAUUCCCGUACUUGGUGUUACUGCGAAGGGGGGACGGAGAAGGCUAUGUUGGCCGGGCGACGGUUGUCCCGGUUUAAGCGUGUAGGUGUGUGUUCCAGGUAAAUCCGGUUCACUUUAACACUGAGGCGUGACGACGAGGCACUACGGUGCUGAAGCAACAAAUGCCCUGCUUCCAGGAAAAGCCUCUAAGCAUCAGGUAACAUCAAAUCGUACCCCAAACCGACACAGGUGGUCAGGUAGAGAAUACCAAGGCGCUUGAGAGAACUCGGGUGAAGGAACUAGGCAAAAUGGUGCCGUAACUUCGGGAGAAGGCACGCUGACACGUAGGUGAAGUGACUCAUGGAGCUGAAGUCAGUCGAAGAUACCAGCUGGCUGCAACUCACAGCAGUGCAAACACGUGGACGUAACGGUGUGACGCCUGCCCGGUGCCGGAAGGUUAAUUGAUGGGGAGCGCAAGCUCCUGAUCGAGCCCCGGUAAACGGCCUAACUCGGUCCUAAGGUAUUCCUUUCGGGUAAGUUCCCCUGCACGAACUAAUGAUGGCCAGGCUGUCUCGAGACUCAGUGAAAUUGAACUCGCUGUGAUGCAGGUGCGGCAAGGGAAAGACCCCGUGAACCUUCUAUAGCUUGACACUGAACAUUGAGCCUUGAUGUGUAGGAUAGGUGGGAGGCUUUGAAGUGUGGACGCCAGUCUGCAUGGAGCCGACCUUGAAAUACCACCCUUUAAUGUUUGAUGUUCUAACGUGGACCCGUAAUCCGGGUUGCGGACAGUGUCUGGUGGGUAGUUUGACUGGGGCGGUCUCCUCCUAAAGAGUAACGGAGGAGCACGAAGGUUGGCUAAUCCUGGUCGGACAUCAGGAGGUUAGUGCAAUGGCAUAAGCCAGCUUGACUGCGAGCGUGACGGCGCGAGCAGGUGCGAAAGCAGGUCAUAGUGAUCCGGUGGUUCUGAAUGGAAGGGCCAUCGCUCAACGGAUAAAAGGUACUCCGGGGAUAACAGGCUGAUACCGCCCAAGAGUUCAUAUCGACGGCGGUGUUUGGCACCUCGAUGUCGGCUCAUCACAUCCUGGGGCUGAAGUAGGUCCCAAGGGUAUGGCUGUUCGCCAUUUAAAGUGGUACGCGAGCUGGGUUUAGAACGUCGUGAGACAGUUCGGUCCCUAUCUGCCGUGGGCGCUGGAGAACUGAGGGGGGCUGCUCCUAGUACGAGAGGACCGGAGUGGACGCAUCACUGGUGUUCGGGUUGUCAUGCCAAUGGCACUGCCCGGUAGCUAAAUGCGGAAGAGAUAAGUGCUGAAAGCAUCUAAGCACGAAACUUGCCCCGAGAUGAGUUCUCCCUGAGACUUAGAGUCUCCUGAAGGAACGUUGAAGACGACGACGUUGAUAGGCCGGGUGUGUAAGCGCAGCGAUGCGUUGAGCUAACCGGUACUAAUGAACCGUGAGGCUUAACC